AUACACUGCUAGGGGAGCUACGGCUGAGAAUUAAACCCUUCAACCUGCACGAUAAUGCGUGCGUGGGAAGCAUAAGUCUUAUACU
rnacentral:ncRNA from 13 species